rnacentral:rRNA from 1 species
UCCAGACUCCUACGGGAGGCAGCAGUGGGGAAUAUUGGGCAAUGGGCGCAAGCCUGACCCAGCAACGCCGCGUGAAGGAAGAAGGCUUUCGGGUUGUAAACUUCUUUUCUCAGGGACGAAGAAAGUGACGGUACCUGAGGAAUAAGCCACGGCUAACUACGUGCCAGCAGCCGCGGUAAUACGUAGGUGGCAAGCGUUAUCCGGAUUUACUGGGUGUAAAGGGCGUGUAGGCGGGGAAGCAAGUCAGAUGUGAAAACCACGGGCUCAACCUGUGGCCUGCAUUUGAAACUGUUUUUCUUGAGUACUGGAGAGGCAGACGGAAUUCCUAGUGUAGCGGUGAAAUGCGUAGAUAUUAGGAGGAACACCAGUGGCGAAGGCGGAUUACUGGACGAUAACUGACGGUGAGGCGCGAAAGCGUGGGGAGCAAACAGGAUUAGAUACCCGAGUACC